rnacentral:rRNA from 1 species
ACAGAGUUCAUGCCCUUACGGGUAGAUCUCCCACCCUAUGUUAUUAUUACUUUGUUGCUUUGGCGGGCCGUCAGGCUCACGCCCGGCUACCGGCCCCGGCUGGUAAGCGCCCGCCAGAGGACCCAAAACCCUGAUUAUUAGUGUCGUCUGAGUACUAUAUAAUAGUUAAAACUUUCAACAACGGAUCUCUUGGUUCUGGCAUCGAUGAAGAACGCAGCGAAAUGCGAUAAGUAAUGUGAAUUGCAGAAUUCAGUGAAUCAUCGAAUCUUUGAACGCACAUUGCGCCCCUUGGUAUUCCGAGGGGCAUGCCUGUUCGAGCGUCAUUACAACCCUCAAGCCUGGCUUGGUAUUGGGCUUCGCCACUCACCUGGCGGGCCUUAAAAUCAGUGGCGGUGCCGUCGAGGCCCUGAGCGCAGUAAAUAUCCUCGCUAUAGGGACCCGGCGGUUGCUGGCCAUCAACCCCCAACUUUCUAAGUUUGACCUCGGGUCAGGUAGGGAUACCCGCUGAACUUAA